GGGGGCCCCGCCUGCGGCGGCCCGGCGGGCGGCCAGAGGGGAGAGCGCCGCCGGGGGAGGCCGAUAGUGCUGGAAACGCCGGAGAGGCUGCAGCGGCGGGGCCGCAGAGAUGCUGGCAGGCUAAAAGCUACACCAGCCCUCCCAUGCAGUAGAAUUCUGGAUUAGCUUCUCUGCUGUCAAUGAUUUCUGGAAGGAAGAGAGAAAGAACAGGAAGAAACAGCAAGAGGUUUUUCUGGAUUAUAUGGAGGAGAAUAUUCUUCCAAGCUGAAACUAUUACACAGGACACAUGCCUAUUCUCCCUGCAAUCAUCAUUUCAUUUACAUGUACUGCUACCCAGCCCAACCUCUAUUGCCAAGGCAUAUUUGAAAGGAUGGUCGUUUAACUGUCUAGUCGGUGUAUUUUGCACAACGCAAACCAAUGCUGGUGUCCAUGAAGAAAGUCAGAGGGUUGAACACAGGAUUUCAUUAAUAGCUGCAACACCUUUCUUGAAGUGACACUGGAGCACAGUUUGGCACUACCGCUUAAAAGGUAAAAAUAAAAAAGCCAAGAGGAUUUCCUGCCAUUCCGCUGCCAUUUUGAACCAGCUCCCAGCAGAGAGCUUAUUAAAAUUACAAAGGAGGGAUGAUUUAAGGUGUGUCUGAACUUCUCCCCAGGUGAGACAUUCAGGAGGAUCUUUGUUUUGGGCUUGGUAAGGGAGCAAGAAUGCCAGAAUUCCCCUGGGGAAGAGAUCAGGAGAGAAAUGGGUAGUUUUCCAGCUAGUCACCAAACCCUCUAACGAAACACAUGGUACCACUUCUAAAUCUCAAGAAUUCCCUUCCCAACUAGCUGCAAAGCUCUUCCGACAGCUCACAAUCCUCUUUGUCAAUUCCCCUUCCUUCCUCCUCCCAAAUUGCAUUUUAGCUUCCGACAGUGGGUUACCCUAAUAGAAGAAACAUAGCCCAUGAUGUAUAGCACCAAGUGGGUUCUUUAGAAAGAUGAACUCUAUCUUCAAAUUGAUUUCCACAAAUUACCUUAGGUGGCUCGGGCUUGAAUGCUGGAGGUGGGCUAGGAUCUCUAAGUAUCUCUCUGCUACCAGCCCUUCUCAUUUGACCUUUUGGUUCUGGGCUGGGUUUUCUUAUACUCUACAAAAAUAUAAGAAGUUAAUCACAAGAAUAUUCAAGUAAUUCUUGACUUGUUUUAACCCUAGCCUUGUGGGCCAAUUACCAGUAGUCACAUUACUGGCAAUGGCAUGACCACUAUCACUGUAAAAGUUAACAUCUGCACUCCAGAUGACACUAUCAAUGAAACUAGAGAGUUAGGCAAGCAGCUUAAUUUUUAUGCUAGAACUAAUAUGACUUUAUAAUUCUGUACCAGAGUUAGCAUAAUGCUGCAGCUGGAAUCAUAUACUUUUCUCGGGCACCAAUUACAAGGGACAUUUUCUAUUACCACUUUACAACACACAUGACUUUCAGGAAGUCAACUGUCUUGCCAACAGUCCAAAUAUUUUACCUCCUCAUGCUGCACAGGCUCAGAAGACCGGCUAAUAGAGGAAACACUUGGUUCAUCUGAUGGCUCAUCAAGCUCAUUGUCCGUGUAUGCACCUCCUUCUCCAUCUGUGUCUUCCAAGUCACUGAUCAAGCGGCUGUCACAGCUCAGGUAGUCAGCACCCAUAGCUGUCAGGUAUGACAUGCGAUCUUCCAUGUCAUCAUCCAUUCCUUCCAUCUAUAAAAGUGGAAGGAUUAGAUUUGACUUCAUGCCCCAUUUUAGUUUGCAGUAACAUUUAUUGUAUACAACACCUAAGAAACAGAACAACAUGAAACUGCAAGAAUUCUAGAUCUCCCAGGAACGUGAAAAUAGUUCCAAUAAAAAAUUAAUAUAUAUGCCCUAGCAGCAGUUAUAUGCCUUGGUUUUAAUAACAGGAGCAACGUGAUCAAGUUAUUAAAAAAAAAAAAAAAAGAAAAACUUUUAUCCUGUACUAUUUUUCUGUCUUAGUUAUCCACUGCAAAGAUUUCAGAUUAGUAUAACUUUUCAAUACACACAUGAGUUUAGUAUUUAGGAUGAUGAGUUGCCAUCUGACCACUCUGAAGGGGAAUUAUUCCCAGAACAGAAAAACAAUUUAGCACGUACAGUAUAAGCUGUUUGACCACAUACCUUUCCUUCCGAUACCCAUACUGCUUCAACUUGCUGUUGCUGAAUUGCAUCUUUGAGGCUGCCGUACCAGCUAUCAUUGGCUGAAUUCAAAUUGAUGGUAGCUGUA